UUUUCAGGAUAAAAAUCCAACAAAUAAUUUACAAGUGAAAAAUGUAACAUCUCUAAGUAAUAAAUAUUCGCCUGAUAAGUCUGCUUUAGCCAUUAAGGAUAACAAAGGAUUUGAUACAGAUGAAGAAUUUUUCAGUGACAUCGGAGGGCCACUAGUUAAAGAGGACACUAUUGUGGGAGUCAUCCUAAUAAUGUUCGAGCCUUCUGAAUCAAAACGCUCGGGAUUAUGUGCAAGAGUUUACGAGGGAUUACCAUGGAUUAAUGAAAUGUUAAAGGACAAUUAUUAAGAUAUACAAAAUUAUGUAUAAUUUUAUUCAAUAAAACAAUUAAAAUUAGCA